rnacentral:lncRNA from 1 species
GCACGUUUUGCAUACAAGGCGGUAACCUCUUCCAAGUACCGAGACGGUAUUGUUUCAUUUCUUCUCAUAAUUUUAUUCAUCCUAUCCCCGUACGCCGAACGCUUAAGACGAUAGAACCGAGAAAUGACCCAUCCAAAAUCCUUAAACAACGACAUUCAAAAGUUUAUAUUUUUUUUAAUUUUAAAAAAUAAAAGAUCGUACAAAAUACAAUAACUUAGCAAAUAGUAUGUCAAUAAAUUGUGGGGGAUAAAGCAAUAAAAGAGAUGUAACUAUUAAAAGAUGGCAGAAGCUGGGAAACAGAGCCUCCUCCUCUACUGACACAAAAACUAUAUGUUUGGUCCCUCUUCUUUCCUCAACC